rnacentral:rRNA from 1 species
AGAGUUUGAUCCUGGCUCAGGAUGAACGCUGGCGGCGUGUCUAAGGCAUGCAAGUCGAAUGCUGAUAGCAAUAUCGGCAUGGCAAACGGGAGAGUAACACAUUGGUAACCUACCCCAAAGUCGAGAAUAAUCCACCGAAAGGUGGGGUAAUACUCGAUAGUAUAAUUAAACAUAUGUUUAAUUAUUAAAGUUCCGGCGCUUUGGGAGGGGCCUAUGUCCUAUCAGCUUGUUGGUGAGGUAAAAGCUCACCAAGGCAAUGACGGGUAGCGGGUGUAAGAGCAUGACCCGCCUCACUGGGACUGAGACACUGCCCAGACUCCUACGGGAGGCUGCAGUCAAGAAUCUUCCUCAAUGGACGAAAGUCUGAAGGAGCGACGCCGCGUGUAUGAAGAAGCCCUUCGGGGUGUAAAAUACUUUUAUCAGGGAAGAAUCCAUGACGGUACCUGAUGAAUAAGGGGCUGCUAACCUCGUGCCAGCAGCAGCGGUAAUACGAGGGCCCCAAGCGUUAUCCGGAUUUAUUGGGCGUAAAGCGUCCGUAGGUGGUUUAUCACAUCUCCUGUUAAAUCCCAAGGCUCAACCUUGGGGCUGAGGGAGAGAUGGAUAAUCUAGAGACCGGAAGAGGCAAACGGAAUUGCUGGUGUAGGGGUUAAAUCCAUUAAUAUCAGCAGGAACACCAAAUGCGAAGGCAGUUUGCUAGGACGGAUCUGACACUAAGGGACGAAAGCGUGGGGAGCGAAUAGGAUUAGAUAAAUCCUAACUGUAGUCAUUAAUUUGACAAGCAGUAAACGGUGUCCCUCUUAACGGCGACGUUAAGAGUGCAUUCAGCUAUAUCGGGGAAAAUCCUAAUAUUUUUUUGGUUCACUACAACCAUAUUUAGGGCAAUCCCGAGGGAAGUUCAUCAAUUUAUUGAUAUGAACCCCGUAGAGACUAUGAAGUUGAUUAAAAAUAGAGGGUGCUAAUGAUAUAAACUAUAUGAAUCAAUAUCAAAAAGUACCUUUGUUAGACCAAACUAAAGAGAUAAUCUUAGGAUCUCUCUUGGGCGAUGGUUCACUAAAAAUCCAUAAACCUUAUAAAAAUGCGAGAUUUUCUUUUCGACA